UCUCUAUAAGGUUUAUAAAACACAGCAGAAAACCCUGAACACACCGGCCCCUUGGUAAAGUUAAUUUUUGUAAAAAUGUCCUUUAUUUAACCAGGUAAACCCCGUUGAGAUCCAGAUCUCAUUUUCAAGAGGACCUGGAAGUAAAGUAUGGUGGUGGCUACCUCAUGCUGUGGGAAUGCUUUUCUUUAGUAGAGAUAAGAAUCUUAGAGCUCAUUGGAAGACAGAUGGAGGUAAGCACAUGAAAAGUAAAAAAAAAAAAAGCUCUAAAACAUACCAAACCCUUAAGAAAAUGCCUCUCUUGCAUCCCACAUCUCCGCCAAAUAAAUUAUACAUUUUACUUUUAGUAAAUGAUAUCACUUGUAAUUUUUCCUGUUUAGGUCAUUUUCUCCAUUUUGUGUACAACAAAAGGCGUAGAUAUACAGCCAGAGCUACAACAGAUUGGUUAAUGCCAAAGCAUGCUUCUGGUUUGAUGUACAAAUCAAAUUGUAGAUCUAAAUCUAGUUCAUGAUCCUUUGCAAAAUGUAACCCGUUUAUUUUUACGGGCCCACUUCCUGUUUUGCCCCCAAACUCUUCAACUUAUUUAAAGCCCCGCCUCAGCGCAGUUUAAAACACCACCUGUUCCACUGUGAUUGUGACUGGCUGUUGGCGUCUUGCUGAUCAUCUCUCCUUGGAAAAUUCACCCAAAUCUCUGAAACUGAUUUGAACUAUUGAACUGUGGCAGUUGUUACCUGGGCUGUCACCGGGAUUCACAGCUGAUCGCAGUCUAGCACUCACUGCUGAAAGGUCGGGUUUUUUUUGAUGGAUCAGAUUCUCAGAUCCUCUUCUGAGCAAAGGAUGGCGAGCUAAGGACAAGAACUUUGAUCUUUUGAAUUUAUUUAUUUUGAAUUAAUUUGACCCUCAUUGUGUAUUUGUAAUUGUUUGUUGUUGUUUUUUUCCCCCCUAUCAUCAAUACAAAAAACACCAAAACUAAAACAGUGAUUGUCUUCAUUCACACCUCAGGCUCCUUCAAGAACCAUCUUCUGAUACAGCUUUUGUAGCCGCAGUUAGCUGCGUAGCCCAUAACUGUUACAAAAACAUGAAAAAUUCAGUCUAUGCUGACGUCUAUACGAGAGACGUAUUCAGAAUGACUUGCAGCUGCACCUGUGGCAAAACGGGACUUUACAACAUAUCGACUUGUCUCUUGGCCCUUUCAUUUUUUAAAACAUAAAUAGGACGUGAUUUCACAAGCAGUACAAUAAUACACCACUUUAUCUUGAUGCAUUUUGAAAAUCGUUCCAAGCAAAAGACAUUGCAUUUUAUUGGUUGUAAAAUGAAAAUUGGUGUGAACACUUUGCAGCAUCACUUCUUAAAAGUUGCCACAACUUGGCUGCUACCAACGCUAUCUAAAAUAACCAUUCCCAGUUAGGGAUUCAGUUUAUUCACCCAA